CAGUAACCAUGGUAGCAUCUUGAGCCCAAGAACAGUGUUACUGCCAUUUAAUGCCGCGAUGUUUUAGCUCCAGGAAUUUGGACCCUCCUGCGAUAAGAAUCAGUUGAAAAGGAAAAUUCGUGCAACAGGGAUUUGACCCUAAACUCUUUUGAUUAUACAAACUACAAAGUGAUCUAAUUUCCAUUUUCUCCCUAUGCAGUCAAUCAAAAGUCUUAUUGGCACUUCUUGCUGCUACUACAUUCAUGAUGACCACUGUGUCAAGCCUUCCAAGUAUCUGCUCUCCUGAUGUUUACACAAGGGAGACGCUACUAAGGAAGCAGAACAUGGAGAAGUUUUCUUGAUGUUUACACAAGGGAGAUGAUACUAAAGAAGCAGAUCGCGAAGAAGUUUCAAUGAAUUAGAGAGUUAUAGAUGCCAGCUGGUCCUCUACAUAUCUGUUACCUGAUAAAAAUAAGAAAAAUGCAUGUGCUGCAUUCAUUAAGGCUAAUAGUUCUCAAUUUUGCCAAUGGUAAUGGGCUGUUGGGUAUCAACCGAAUGACAAUAGUGGCCUGAGGGGUGGUAACAUGGUUGCCUCUUGCGGAAUAGCCAUUUAGAUAUUAUUUUGUUGUGUAAUCUUAAUCUCCAUCCAAAUCAUAUUUAAUUUGUAUGUUAAUCUUCUCCUGGUGGAACGCA